ACGUAGGGUGCAAGCGUUAAUCGGAAUUACUGGGCGUAAAGCGCGCGUAGGCGGUAUUGUAAGUCAGGGGUGAAAUCCCACGGCUCAACCUUGGAACUGCCUUUGAUACUGCACAACUUGAAUACGGCAGAGGGUGGCGGAAUUCCAGGUGUAGCAGUGAAAUGCGUAGAUAUCAGGAGGAACACCAGUGGCGAAGGCAGCCCCCUGGACCGGUACUGACGCUGAGGCGCGAAAGCGUGGGGAGCAAACAG
rnacentral:rRNA from 1 species